UAUCAAAUAUACUCCCUCAACCCUCCAAUAAUGCAACAUAUACAACAAAAGCCAAUUCCCAAACCCACAAUACAAUAGCAAAACAACCGACACCAUACACAUACCAACGUUCAAUUCCCAUACAAUCCAGCAACAAACCCAACAUACACACAACCUAUACUCUUAGCCCAUACCCACAAAAAACCUUAGUAACAUCGCACUACAGAACAUAUACCCACCGCGUACACCUAUACGUAUACCAGUAUAACAUAUGUGUCAUCUUCCUCACCCAAAAGGUAGUACAUCUAGCUAUUCCAAUCUAAAAUUCAUUCUUGGAUCAUGAGAUUGAGCCACAUCUAACUUCGAUUUGAUCCUUGCCAUCCACCUCACUUGAAAAUCAUCCAAAUCCGCUGAGAAUUUAAAUUUUGGGAGGAUGAUAUGGCAUAUUAUGUUUUCAUUUUUGGAGUUUUGAAUUUCAAAUUUUAUCCUCAUCCAAAAACCCCAUCCAAUUUCCCCUCAUUUUGAAAGACCUAAAUUUUCUUCCUUCUAUAAACGACCUACUUUCUAGUCAUUAUAGAGGUUAUGAAAUGGAGGUCGAAUUCUAGGUUACGAAAUUAUAGAUUGAUUUUUGAGAUCUAUGAAUUUUACCCUAAAAUACAGAAACAUCUCAAACCAUAAAAGAAUUUUGGUCAAGAAUGAGGGGUUCCUAUUUGAAAGGCUUAAAGGUUGAAGUUUCAGUUGGUUUUAUCGAGAUUUCUCCAGAAAGAUUCUAAUUGUUCUGUGGAAAUCAUUUCCUGAACGUCGUCUCAAUUUCGCUGCUUCAAAGAAGUUGAUUCCGAUGCACUCUUUCAUCUCAUUACAUUUUAGGAUGGGCCACGGAGGACCAAUUGUUACAUUCCUCGAGUCAGCCUCGUCAAAUUGGAUCAUCUAGAGAAAGGAAAGAUACGGUGAAGAGGAAGCUACAAAGUUUUGAAAGAAAAGGAACUGAUAUACAGCUAAUAUACGUUUUUAUGCAGCUUGGUAUAUAGUCACUGUAUACACACUGAUACCGGGAUGAAACUAGGACAAAAUCCCGAACUUGCAGUAGCAGUAGUCAAAGACGAUUAAAGUAACAGUUUUCAGAGGUAAAUUUGGAAUAAGCAGGCCCAAUCGAUGCAUCUUUUCGUUAGAAUUUAGGACAGGAUUUUGGGACUGCUGAAGCCCUACCCCACAGCUUUGAAUUUGAGCAAAGCUCAAAUUUUUGUUUUCUUUAUUAUGAUGACUAGGGGUGUACAUGAACCGGGUUGGUUCAGAUUUUUUACAAAUCAAAUCAAAUUAUUUGUAUCGGGUUAUUAAAUCUAUAAAUCAAAUCAAACCAAUAAAAGUCGGGUUUUUUUAUAUCAA